rnacentral:rRNA from 1 species
AUUGAACGCUGGCGAAAUGCUUUACACAUGCAAGUCGAACGGUAGAGGGGGCAACCCCUCGAGAGUGGCGAACGGGUGAGUAAUAUAUCGGAACGUGCCCAGUCGUGGGGGAUAACGUAGCGAAAGUUACGCUAAUACCGCAUACGAUCUAAGGAUGAAAGCGGGGGAUCGCAAGACCUCGCGCGAUUGGAGCGGCCGAUAUCAGAUUAGGUAGUUGGUGGGGUAAAGGCUCACCAAGCCAACGAUCUGUAGCUGGUCUGAGAGGACGACCAGCCACACUGGAACUGAGACACGGUCCAGACUCCUACGGGAGGCAGCAGUGGGGAAUUUUGGACAAUGGACGCAAGUCUGAUCCAGCCAUUCCGCGUGCAGGAUGAAGGCCCUCGGGUUGUAAACUGCUUUUGUACGGAACGAAAAGGUCUCUCUUAAUACGGGGGACUCAUGACGGUACCGUAAGAAUAAGCACCGGCUAACUACGUGCCAGUAGCCGCCGCAG